UGAAUACCUCUGCUGCUGACUUCAAUGU
rnacentral:sRNA from 1 species